rnacentral:rRNA from 1 species
UUACGGGAGGCAGCAGUGGGGAAUUUUCCGCAAUGGGCGAAAGCCUGACGGAGCAAUACCGCGUGAGGGAGGAAGGCUCUUGGGUCGUAAACCUCUUUUCUCUGGGAAGAUAANNUGACGNGUACCAGAGGAAUAAGCAUCGGCUAACUCCGUGCCAGCAGCCGCGGUAAUACGGAGGAUGCAAGCGUUAUCCGGAAUGAUUGGGCGUAAAGAGUCCGUAGGUGGUUGUGAAAGUCUGUGGUUAAAGCGCGAAGCUCAACUUCGUACCGGCCAUGGAAACUAUGCGACUAGAGUGAGAGAGGGGUAGAGGGAAUUCUUGGUGUAGCGGUGAAAUGCGUAGAUAUCAAGAAGAACACCGGUGGCGAAAGCGCUUUACUGGCU